UCCGGUGACGAUAGCAACGAGGAUCCACCUGUUCCCAUUCCGAACACAGAAGUUAAGCUCGUUUACGUCAAAAGUACUUAGCGGGCCACCGCUCGGGAGGAUAGAUAGUUGCCGGAU
rnacentral:rRNA from 1 species